rnacentral:rRNA from 1 species
GACGAACGCUGGCGGCGUGCUUAACACAUGCAAGUCGAACGAAGUGGCGAACGGGUGAGUAACGCGUAAUCAACCUGCCCUUCAGAGGGGGACAACAGUUGGAAACGACUGCUAAUACCGCAUACUGAAGGAGGGGCUUGCGUCGGAUAAGCUAGUUGGAGGGGUAACGGCCCACCAAGGCGAUGAUCAGUAGCCGGGCUGGGGGGAGGAACGGCCACAUUGGGACUGAGACACGGCCCAAACUCCUACGGGAGGGAGCAGGGGGGAAUCUUCCGGAAUGGACGAAAGUCUGACGGAGGAACGCCGGGGGAGUGAUGACGGCCUUCGGGUUGUAAAGCUCUGUUAAUCGGGACGCGGUACCGGAAUAGAAAGCCACGGCUAACUACGUGCCAGCAGCCGCGGUAAUUC